rnacentral:rRNA from 1 species
UACGGGGGGGCAAGCGUUGUUCGAAAUUACUGGGCGUAAAGGGCUCGUAGGUCGCCAACUAAGUCAGACGUGAAAUCCCUCGGCUUAACCGGGGAACUGCGUCUGAUACUGGAUGGCUUGAGUUUGGGAGAGGGACGCGGAAUUCCAGGUGGUAGCGGUGAAAUGCGUAGAUAUCUGGAGGAACACCGGUGGCGAAGGCGGCGUCCUGGACCAACACUGACACUGAGGAGCGAAAGCCAGGGGAGCAAACGGG